rnacentral:rRNA from 1 species
CCUACGGGCGGCAGCAGUGAGGAAUAUUGGUCAAUGGACGCAAGUCUGAACCAGCCAUGCCGCGUGCAGGAAGACGGCUCUAUGAGUUGUAAACUGCUUUUGUACGGGGGUAAACUCAGAUACGCGUAUCUUUCUGAAAGUAUCGUACGAAUAAGGAUCGGCUAACUCCGUGCCAGCAGCCGCGGUAAUACGGAGGAUUCAAGCGUUAUCCGGAUUUAUUGGGUUUAAAGGGUGCGUAGGCGGUCUGAUAAGUUAGAGGUGAAAUCCCGAGGCUCAACUUCGGAAUUGCCUCGGAUACUGUCCGGCUAGAGAGUAGUUGCGGUAGGCGGAAUGUAUGGUGUAGCGGUGAAAUGCUUAGAGAUCAUACAGAACACCGAUUGCGAAGGCAGCUUACCAAGCCACUUCUGACGCUGAGGCACGAAAGCGUGGGGAGCAAACAGGAUUAGAUACCCCGGUAGUC